CAGGUGUUGCUGUUGAAUAUUUGCUAUUGUCUAGUUUGAAGUCCCCACACCCGUCUCUAGGAACAGAACAUGUAUCCGUCACUGGCAGCACAGUUGUUUCUUGAAUUUAACAGGACUGCACUGUGUGCUGGCCUGAACAGCUGCUGACCCUGGAAUUGAAGAGGUAGCUCUGUCGUCAACUGGCCAGGACUAUCGGCACCAUACCGGAUCUUGUCUCCUAGGGUUUGCAUGAGAUUUAUCAGAAUUCUGCAGUUCUGUCUGCUUUUAAGUCACAGGCCUGUUGCAUAAUUGUGAUGGAAACGGAUCAGCUAAGGGGGAAAAAGAUGUUUUGAAGAGUUGUGGGAUAUAAGAUGCUAUAAGUUGCGCUAAAUUUGGAUGGAAACUUGACUAUUGAAUGAUGUCAAACAUCAAUCUCAUCUUCACUUCCAACUGAUUUAAAAAAUUCCAAUCUCUUGGAAAAACAAGGUUUAAAUUUACAAGGUUUACAUUAAUGACUAAUCAUAACUAUAAACGGAAGAAAACAAAUACUCACAAAAGACCAAACAUAAAUAACUGACAGAUCUUUUGUUGAUGCCUUUUCAUUUUAACUUUUAAGAUUGUUAUUUAAUCCGCUGCCACCUAGAAAAAUAAUCUGGCUCUAAAUUCAGUCUGGAGAGUUUACAUAAUCCAACAACCUUGUCCCAUGUGAGUAUGGGAUGUUUCAACUGAGCGAGGACAAGCGGAGGUCAACUGGACAGGAAUCUCUUCAGUGUGAAUCCCAUUUAGGCACUCAGGCGGUGACCUCAAAGUUACAGGAGUGGCUGUGUGACUGGAACAUCGCCAGUUUGAAUCCCCAAAUGGUACAAAGUAUCUGGACAAUGCAUUUCUGUUUUUGUUUUUUUACUUUGCGUAAAAAGUUACAUAAAUACAAGCAUAACAAAUUAAAAGAUAACUUGAUGUGAGCAGAAGCAAGUGAACCACUAAAGAGCGUGGGUCUACCUCACACCCGUACGUAUGUUGGACUACUUAAACUUUAUCUUGUCACUGAGUUUGACCCUCCUGUAGAUUCACUGCUGCUGUUGUUCUGAACAUUUUCCUCGUCUGGUUGCAGAUGGUUUUUGGCUGGUACCCCCAGUCCUCCGCUCUCCCUGGGUGUGCUAGCUAGGAGUGUAUGUGAACUCUGGGGAGACGCCGGGGCUGAUUAGGCCAUGUCCCGCUGCUGUCAUUAGGACACAGUGGAGACACUCAGCUUAAUGGGAGAGACACAUCGCAGCUAAUUGCCUCAAUUUGGAUGAAGCCCUGUGACAGCUCGCUGGGUUCAGGGAGUACAGAAACUGCGGCUGAGCACAAGGAGCCCGUUUUCCGCCUCGGUGCACCGAGCUCGGCGAGCGAAAUCAUAUCAUUUCAACUUUCGUCAUUCCAACGUCAGCCCUUGUCAUUUGGAAAAUGACCUGCUAUGAAGUGAUUCCCAGAGCUUGCUGUCUUGCUCUCUUGUGUAACAUUUAUAAAACAAACACUGUAAUCAAAAGUACAAGAUGAACAGUUGACCUGGACUCUCUGAAUACAGCAGCAGAAUGCCAAUUCCAACAGAUGGCAAGUUGACAAUGCAAGACAAAACAAAGACGUCAACGCGUGUAUAAUUUUUAAACAAAGUACAAUUUCAUUUACAAGAUCAAGAGAAAACCAUAAUGGAGAGUACAAGAGGAACAUUGGACUGAAACCAUCUGAAUACACAGCAGAUUGCCCACUCGAAGUCAACGUAUGGUGUAAAUAGUUGUAUGCGCGUCAUCGUUUUCUUCCUCAUUUCUGAGCAGGACAUGGAAAGACGUCAAAGUGAAGGACUGGUUGUUGUAAGAGAUGGGCAAGGGGAUUGUUGCAAAUGAAAAGGAGGUGUACAAGGAGAAGAAACGGGACGCUGAUGAAAAGUAAGUUGGUUUGUAUGAAACUAGUUUGUAUGAAAUGAUGUACGACAUCAGAAAUCAAAAGUGUUAACAGGU